UACGUAGGGAGCAAGCGUUGUUCGGAAUUACUGGGCGUAAAGCGCACGUAGGCGGCUUUGUAAGUUAGAGGUGAAAGCCCGGGGCUCAACUCCGGAAUUGCCUUUAAGACUGCAUCGCUAGAAUUGUGGAGAGGUAAGUGGAAUUCCGAGUGUAGAGGUGAAAUUCGUAGAUAUUCGGAAGAACACCAGUGGCGAAGGCGACUUACUGGACACAUAUUGACGCUGAGGUGCGAAAGCGUGGGGAGCAAACAGG
rnacentral:rRNA from 1 species